GAUGAACGCUGGCGGCGUGCCUAAUACAUGCAAGUCGAGCGAACAGAUAAGGAGCUUGCUCCUUUGAAGUUAGCGGCGGACGGGUGAGUAACACGUGGGUAACCCACCUAUAAGACUGGGAUAACUUCGGGAAACCGGAGCUAAUACCGGAUAACAUUUAGAACCGCAUGGUUCUAAAGUGAAAGAUGGUUUUGCUAUCACUUAUAGAUGGUCCCGCGCCGUAUUAGCUAGUUGGUAAGGUAACGGCUUACCAAGGCGACGAUACGUAGCCGACCUGAGAGGGUGAUCGGCCACACUGGAACUGAGACACGGUCCAGACUCCUACGGGAGGCAGCAGUAGGGAAUCUUCCGCAAUGGGCGAAAGCCUGACGGAGCAACGCCGCGUGAGUGAUGAAGGGUUUCGGCUCGUAAAACUCUGUUAUUAGGGAAGAACAAAUGUGUAAGUAACUGUGCACAUCUUGACGGUACCUAAUCAGAAAGCCACGGCUAACUACGUGCCAGCAGCCGCCGUAA
rnacentral:rRNA from 1 species